GCCAUCACUGGAGGAAGUUGUGUGUGGAUUUGGUGUGGGGUUGCCACGGGAGGAAGUUGUCUCUGGAGAAGUCACGCGAUGUCCUCUUUGCAGUUACUUUUACUCAUAGACUCUCCUUUUUAGCUUGCAUGGCCAUUAGAAACCCAUUCAUCAUGGUGACCCUGGCCCGCAUCUAUCGAAUCUUACAGUGGUCCAGCCACUAAUGACUGAGAGCAGCGUCACAUAACACCUUCCCUGAACCUGUGAGUCAGAUUCCACUGGCAGUCUGCGCCUUGCUCUAAGCAGUCAGACUCUCCCAGGAUGCUGUUACUUCUCAUGCACAGUGAUUCAGUCUGACGUGCAGUGGGUCAAAGAGCCUCAAGGUCCUUCCGAGGGGGAGGAUUUUUCGUGGAGUUGUU